AAGGUAACCAGUAGAGUUUGAUCCUGGCUCAGUAAGUCGUAACAAGGUAACCAGUAGAGUUUGAUCCUGGCUCAGGAUGAACGCUGGCGGCGUGCUUAACACAUGCAAGUCGAACGGGAUCCAUCAGGCUUUGCUUGGUGGUGAGAGUGGCGAACGGGUGAGUAAUGCGUGACCGACCUGCCCCAUACACCGGAAUAGCUCCUGGAAACGGGUGGUAAUGCCGGAUGCUCCGACUCCUCGCAUGGGGUGUCGGGAAAGAUUUCAUCGGUAUGGGAUGGGGUCGCGUCCUAUCAGGUAGUCGGCGGGGUAACGGCCCACCGAGCCUACGACGGGUAGCCGGCCUGAGAGGGCGACCGGCCACAUUGGGACUGAGAUACGGCCCAGACUCCUACGGGAGGCAGCAGUGGGGAAUAUUGCACAAUGGGCGCAAGCCUGAUGCAGCGACGCCGCGUGCGGGAUGACGGCCUUCGGGUUGUAAACCGCUUUUGAUCGGGAGCAAGCCUUCGGGUGAGUGUACCUUUCGAAUAAGCACCGGCUAACUACGUGCCAGCAGCCGCGGUAAUACGUAGGGUGCAAGCGUUAUCCGGAAUUAUUGGGCGUAAAGGGCUCGUAGGCGGUUCGUCGCGUCCGGUGUGAAAGUCCAUCGCUUAACGGUGGAUCUGCGCCGGGUACGGGCGGGCUGGAGUGCGGUAGGGGAGACUGGAAUUCCCGGUGUAACGGUGGAAUGUGUAGAUAUCGGGAAGAACACCAAUGGCGAAGGCAGGUCUCUGGGCCGUUACUGACGCUGAGGAGCGAAAGCGUGGGGAGCGAACAGGAUUAGAUACCCUGGUAGUCCACGCCGUAAACGGUGGAUGCUGGAUGUGGGGCCCGUUCCACGGGUUCCGUGUCGGAGCUAACGCGUUAAGCAUCCCGCCUGGGGAGUACGGCCGCAAGGCUAAAACUCAAAGAAAUUGACGGGGGCCCGCACAAGCGGCGGAGCAUGCGGAUUAAUUCGAUGCAACGCGAAGAACCUUACCUGGGCUUGACAUGUUCCCGACAGCCGUAGAGAUAUGGCCUCCCUUCGGGGCGGGUUCACAGGUGGUGCAUGGUCGUCGUCAGCUCGUGUCGUGAGAUGUUGGGUUAAGUCCCGCAACGAGCGCAACCCUCGCCCUGUGUUGCCAGCACGUCAUGGUGGGAACUCACGGGGGACCGCCGGGGUCAACUCGGAGGAAGGUGGGGAUGACGUCAGAUCAUCAUGCCCCUUACGUCCAGGGCUUCACGCAUGCUACAAUGGCCGGUACAACGGGAUGCGACACGGCGACGUGGAGCGGAUCCCUGAAAACCGGUCUCAGUUCGGAUUGGAGUCUGCAACCCGACUCCAUGAAGGCGGAGUCGCUAGUAA
rnacentral:rRNA from 1 species